GGUAAAAUAUAAAAAUAAUGAGCUCAUGAGCUUAAAUUUGCAUUAGAUAUCUUGGAACAGAUUAGGUUUCUUUAAAAUUUUGCAAUUAUAGGUGCAAAAGUUCUUUUUUGACGCGUAUUAAAUAAGUCUGAACAUAUUUGCAUGUUGAUCUACUUUGAUGUUUUUCUCUCUGUAAGCCUCAAGUAUUUUUUCUUUGAAAUCAUAUGAGUAGAAAUUUGCUAUUAUGUUUCGAGGC